rnacentral:rRNA from 1 species
UACGUAGGGGGCAAGCGUUAUCCGGAUUUACUGGGUGUAAAGGGAGCGAAGGCGGCGGAGCAAGUCAGAAGUGAAAGCCCGGGGCUCAACCCCGGGACGGCUUUUGAAACUGCCCUGCUUGAUUUCAGGAGAGGUAAGCGGAAUUCCUAGUGUAGCGGUGAAAUGCGUAGAUAUUAGGAGGAACACCAGUGGCGAAGGCGGCUUACUGGACUGACAAUGACGCUGAGGCUCGAAAGCGUGGGGAGCAAACAGG